UGGGGAAUAUUGCGCAAUGGGGGAAACCCUGACGCAGCGACGCCGCGUGCGGGAUGAAGGCCUUCGGGUUGUAAACCGCUUUUGAUUGGGAGCAAGCUUUCGGGUGAGUGUACCUUUCGAAUAAGCGCCGGCUAACUACGUGCCAGCAGCCGCGGUAAUACGUAGGUCCCGAGCGUUGUCCGGAUUUAUUGGGCGUAAAGCGAGCGCAGGCGGUUAGAUAAGUCUGAAGUUAAAGGCAGUGGCUCAACCAUUGUAGGCUUUGGAAACUGUUUAACUUGAGUGCAGAAGGGGAGAGUGGAAUUCCAUGUGUAGCGGUGAAAUGCGUAGAUAUAUGGAGGAACACCAGUGGCGAAGGCGACUCUCUGGUCUGUAACUGACGCUGAGGCUCGAAAGCGUGGGUAGCAAACAGG
rnacentral:rRNA from 1 species